UGUAAUUUCAGCUGGCGAGCGUGAGGAUGCUGCCGUGGGCCAAGGCGCACCUGAACCCAACCGGGCAGGCGCUCAUCAUCUCCACCGUCGCCGGGAUGGCCUACUUCAUCGUCGCCGACAAGACCAUCCUCUCCAUGGCCAGGAAGCACUCCUUCGACGACGCGCCGGACCACCUCAAGAACACCUCCUUCCACUAGUUAGAUCCACUAUUAGUAAUGCCCAAUAAACCGUGUAAGCCAAAGUGCAUAGCGUACAGUGAUCAGCAAGGGGGGUCAGGGAUGCUCCCGGAUAGUCUUGUACUGCGAGUGCAAUUGCUCAUUUCGUAAUAUAAUUUUCAUCAUGCAAGUAGCCAUGUACAGUAUGUUUUGAGCUAGCAAUACUGAAUGAUGUACCAGCAUUUGUUUAACCAAUAUUUUCCAACUAUCGUGGCUAUUUUUAUGAAUCAGUCAGAUUGUAUAAAAAGUUAAGCAACCUCAAUCUGACGUUUAGUUUAAUCUUGUUGGCUCGCUGCCACCCACGUGACACAUCGACUUGAUCAGCGAAGAAUAUCUAGUAAACCUCAGAUCCUAGUUUCUACUUAGCAAAUUCACCGACAGUGCCGUUUUGAUCCAAGGUGGUCUCAGAAAGAUGCCAAAAUUUCUCAGAGGAGGGAUAUUUACACACCAUGCAUCAUGUCAAAAACCAGUGUUACAUCAUGUCCAUUCCUUGCUGCCAGUGAUCUCCCCAGAAUAUAUAGUUGUUUAACUAUCAAUAAGUCAGUCCACACAACUUCUUUUUUUGACAAAGGGUGAAUUUUAUUGGCUCAAAAUGAAGCAUCAAGAGGAUACAGAACAUGAUGAGCACACACCCGGCCUCUGCAUAGCUACCGGCAAACUGCAGCAAUGACCAUAUCCGCACCACUCAUCUUAUGACACCAAAUGGACAACGAGAUUCUUCAACAGCAACGCCUUCAGGAAGGGAGUGGCGCUCAAGCGCCGCCGUCACCGGAUCCGACGACUACGGCCAGAAUCUAAGUUUCACCCUGAAGAAUUAGUCCGAACAUAUCCGAGCAAUGCCUUCAACAAGGUAACGACGUAAAAUAACAUCGUCAUUGCCAGGCAUAACCAACUCGGUUUAGACCUGGGCUUUCACCCCGGAGCUCGAGACCGGAUGCAUGAAUAGCACCACCAUCGCAGUCACUUGUGUUGUCUACCACCUCUUUUCCACGAUUCCAACAGCUAAAUGCGAUAUGUGAUCGCAAUCGCUGCACAACCAUCCCUCUGCGUCAAGACGUUAUAUAUAGUUUGCAUCUCACCGCCGAAGUCAACCACCAGAUUUGAAAAGAUGAAGUUGCAUGACAGUCAGUAGCCACCACCACCUGGCCGGUACGAUCCGAAUCACCGCCAUCAAGCACACCAGAUCUCACAACCACGCCGGGUCGCCAGCAUGCCCUGUUCCAAUCUGGUGUAGCAGCAAGAGGGGCCUAUGGCCGGAGGUGGGAUGGUUGUAGCCCUCUUGCCACCCAUGUACUGUAUGCGCCAGGAGCCGAAGUUGGCCGUCCAGCCGCUGCAUGCCCCAGCCAGCGAGAACACAUGAUCCAUCCACCGCUGGCUAGGUGAGGGGACGGAGGAGGUAGCGCAACUCCCAUCAGCAGCAGGACAACGCGAGAGCGGACAGCCUGCCGGAGGCCAUCGCCGAGAGUAGCAUACACGCCCCGCCGCCUCGCUCCAAGCCUAGCAGAACCGACCACUUUGCGCCUUUCGAUGGCCCCACCGCCGCCGGCGCCGGCGGCGGUGAGGGGAGAGGAGGAACCGGUGUAGGCCUUGGGCCGCCGGACUGGGGCGCCCCGGUGCGACUCGCUGGAGUCGCACGGGAGCGCGAUCCCUUUUUUCCGGAAGUUGGUUUAAUAUCAAUCUUAAGUUCUUAACUUCUUGAGUGAACACAACUGAAUCGUCAUGUUCGUGUUCAAUUUGGCAAUUUCCCUGGCGAAUCACAUAUCUUGCUUUGUAUAUGCAUAUGCGAUGUUUUUUUUUCAUGUGUACUUACCUUAUACAAAAAUUUAAGUGAAUGGCAGACAUGGACGGGUCAUGUAUAUAUGUUUUUUUGUCAUGAACACGAUGCCAUUGGUGUGAAAGUGAUCACAAUUUGGUUUACUGAACUUUGUAAUAAAUUAGUGUUAAUAUUUGCACGACACCAAAAUUAUUUCAGAUCUCACCAAAAUCUCCAAAACUUAUAAGAUUUAGAAUUUAAUAUAGAAUUAGUUGGUCUAAAAUUCUUUGGAUUUGAACAACAAUAGUCCAAUUAUGACUUCAAAUUAACUUUGGUUCUGCUGUAGGCCAAAAACAAUUAGGCUAAAAUCCACUUCAAUGAACACUAACAUUACCAAAUUUCGUUUUAACUGAUUAGCACUAAUUGUUUAUCUGUAGAAGAUGAGCCGUUCCCAUUGAAGUUUUUUUACACGGUUCCCAUAGAAGUUAUCCUUGCUACAUAACUUUCUUUUGCGAUUUCAUCCCUACAAGAAGGGUUGGACGCGCUUCGCUUUGCUGUUGUUGGAUUUCACAAAGAUAAUUUUUGGUUUGGCGUGGGAGAAAGAUGAUGGAGUGUUUUUUAAUGUGGUUCUUAGUGGGAUUUGUUGGCGGUGUGAUUAUGUGUUAUCUGCUAAUCAACAAAUACUUAUGUGAGGAUGUUCCGGUUCAAUUUUUUUUUUACUUAUUAUGUGGGGAAGUUUCUUGAGUUGGUAGCCUCAUGUACUAUAUUGGUGCCAUAGUGUCACAUGUCGGCGCUUCUUUUUUUAGAUGGUGAGAGGGUGCACAACACAUGACUAGUGUGCUUCGAUUAAUUUGAGAAAUCAUUGACCCGGUCAAAAUCAUGAAUCAAAUCCAAAAUUAAAUACCUCAACCAAAUGAAAGAGCUUGUUGAGAAAUAGUUGACCUGAUCAAAAUCACAAGUCAAAUUCAGAUUUUAAAACUUCAAUUCAAUAGGAGGGCUCCAAAAUUAAGGAGCAUGAAUGAUAGCUAGUAAAAAACCUUUACGUUAUUUGAACUAGACGAUACCCCGCGCCUUGCUGCGGUAACUUUGUUUAAAAAAAUGCGUAGAUAGUUGCUAAAAAAUAACUACAUCUAAUGAAAAGAAAAUAUUAGUUUGAAAAUCAUUAAAAAAGUCUAUAAAAAUAGAAUAUAAACUUUUGAAUUACUGUUAAAAAUAUCAUUUCGAACAAACAUGUAAAGGAUGACUAACAUGCAUGCAUGAUGUGGCAACGUUAUAUGCAUAGACUAAUGCAAAAAUAAUUGCAAUUUAUUAGUUCGCUUAUGUGGCAGACUUUGCAUGACUUAGUGGGAGAGAAGACUUAAAUGCAUGACCUUAGUGGGGACCUUUGCUUAUGUGGCAGAUUUUGCAUGGCUUAAUAGGAAAGAAAACUUAAAUGCAUGACCUUGUUGAGGACAAUGGGAUGGACACUUUGCAUAUUAAAAGAAUUAGGACCAACUUCUUAAAAACAUAAAAUAAGAUAAGCACUCAACUUUAUAUCACCCCAAAAGGGCUUAGCUUGCACACUGGGGAAUCAUACCAGCCAAACAAUCGAUUUGCAGGGAACCGCUGGCGGCGUAUGGUUGCCGUCGGGUUGGCCGUAAACUUGGAGCGCCCACACCGCACACAUCGCCAACAAAACGGAGGGCACGCUGACAGAUAAUGCUCUCACGCACAUGCUCCUACCCAUACGUGUUAUCCUACUUCGCUCCCUGCCAACCCCGAUCUAGUUGCAGUCUAGUGGUCACCUAAAAGAAACACAGACCAGGCGCGUGGGAUGGUUUUUAUAUGCGGACCAAGAAGGCGGCGCCACCUGUGCUCUGCCGCAGCGCACCACCGCUCGUCUCGAAACCACGUUCUUGCUUCCCACCGUAUCAGCUGAGCUCGCCGUCCUCUCCGCACGUUGAACUCGGCUUUCCACAAACCAUCAAACCCGACGGAAUUCAUCCAAGUUCGAAUAGAAAAUACAUAGCAUGCAAAUAAGUCUAGUAAACAAUAGUUCAAAUUCAACGAGCUUAACCGGAUGUUCAAUAAGCUUUUCAUGAAUGGAUCAUGCCGUCACACAUACUGCGGCUUCAGCUUCAUCCAACAGUGUGGGUACGUAAAAGGUUGUCCCUCUAUCCUAUGGUACAUCAUGGCGGCGCUUACGGGACUAUGUAUAGAGCAACAUUGAGUGAGCGAAUGAUUCAAUUAACAAGUUGAGCAAGAAUUACCAAUGGCCACAUUGCGGUACGAUUUUCUCCACUGCUGCGCCCAAUGGCCACAUUGCCUCCAGCCGAGUAACCGCGUCACAACACUUGGUGAUGGUAGUCUGGACGGCGUACCAUCGAUACGAUAACGACUACACAUUGAGAUCAUGGAUGAUGUGCAUGUCAUGGGGCGCAAUGUACUUUCGCGCGUGAAACGAAUCAUGCACACACUGCCAGAAGAUCCCUCUUCUGCUCCAGCCUACGAACUCCGUGGAUAUGGCCAACCAUGCAUCGCAGAACAACUCAUCCUCCAUGGUCGAGUACCCCCACCAUUCUUUGUGGAAUAAGAAAACAACAUGCCAUUUGAAGAUAAGCUCAAUUACAUUUGACCGAACACCUGCCAGGCAUGGUGUCAGCCAUGGACUUUGUUGACGGGGGGUGGAUUGUGCCUGGCUACAGACGGGUCCUGGGUGGACGGCGCCGUCGUAAAAGGCGAGCGGGCGUGUCGGUGCUGAUUGCGUACGUCUGGCAAUGCCUGUGUGGGGUCCGGAGAGGUACGACAACGUCGAAGAGGAGGAAGCAAUAGGGAGAAAGGGCGGCUUGGAAGAAAAUGUGACCGGGAGGAGAGGGNNNNNNNNNNNNNNNNNNNNNNNNNNNNNNNNNNNNNNNNNNNNNNNNNNNNNNNNNNNNNNNNNNNNNNNNNNNNNNNNNNNNNNNNNNNNNNNNNNNNNNNNNNNNNNNNNNNNNNNNNNNNNNNNNNNNNNNNNNNNNNNNNNNNNNNNNNNNNNNNNNNNNNNNNNNNNNNNNNNNNNNNNNNNNNNNNNNNNNNNNNNNNNNNNNNNNNNNNNNNNNNNNNNNNNNNNNNNNNNNNNNNNNNNNNNNNNNNNNNNNNNNNNNNNNNNNNNNNNNNNNNNNNNNNNNNNNNNNNNNNNNNNNNNNNNNNNNNNNNNNNNNNNNNNNNNNNNNNGGAAAAAGUGCCUCCGGACCGGUCGGCGGACUGAUACACGCAUUGGAUGGCAAAACACGUCCGAACUGCACAAUUCGAAUGUGUGCGGAUGAUUUGAGGGUCGGUGUUCGAGAUGCCCUAAAAUGAGUAUAACGCAUAGUUAUACCUAGCUCAAAUAAAUUUAAUUGAGUUUUAAACUUCCUCUGAGAAUAUUUGAACGGUAUCUAGUCGAUUUUAUUCGGUAGCCGCAUCUUUUGCCCCCUCUUGGCAUUUGUUCAGUAUAUUUGGUAGCCAUUACCUUGGUCGGGGUCGGGAUUCACGACGACGGGAGAUGUACGGUGGUUGUGCGAGCGGUGACGUAGCUAGCUAGUGAAAACCUUUAUGUUAUUUGAACAUGUGACCAACUUUAUAUUUCCCCGCAACCAAGGUGAUGAACGGAGAUGGACCAACAUGUGGUUAGAUGGUUAGGAGGAUAUGAGUAUUCCCAAUCCAUCACGGUUCAAGUCCUAAUAAAUUCAGGAUUUUUAAGGAUGUGUGUUUAGUGAGAGGAGACGUUUCCAUCACACAAGGCGGCUACGGUGACUUCAAGUGAGCGCUUAUGUCUGUAGUGUGUGAUAAAAAAAAGUUGAUCAACGAAGGAUUUGCAGCGAACCACUCGCGGAAUUGGAUUGCUGCCGGGUUGGACGAAAACAGGGAGCGCCCACACAGAUCUCCAACAAAACGGAGGGCACACUCACGCACAAGCGCCUACGUGUUAUCCUACGCACGAACACGCUCCUUGGCUCCUGCCAACCCCGAUCGUUCUUUAUCCAGUUGCGGUGCAGUGGUCAUCUAAAAGUAUCCAGUUUUUAUAUGCGGACCGUCUGUGCUCUGCCGCGUCGCCGGCCAUCACGCCCGCCCUACGCUCGUCUGAAACCCACGGUCUCCGCACGCCGGUUUCGCGGUUUCUUGCAGCCUAUAAAUCCGGCCGGAGCGCCCAGCUCUGCCCCAUCCCAUCUCACACACCACUACUCAUCUUGCCUCACACACUUCACUACUCUGCUCGCAAGUUCACUUCCUUGGGUUCUCGUACCACCAACCUCCCUCGCCAAGAUGUGGACGGUGACCCGCGCCUACCUCGACCAGAGGCUCGCCGCCGCCAAGCGCUGCUCCAGAGGUACUAACCAAAACGAUAUGAUGCAUGGCCCGCCGGUUCACCAUGCCGGCAAUGCUCUUGCCACUCUGUUCUACUCCAGUACAUUGCAGCUUUGUAUACUGUUUGUGCUAAAACUUGGUUGUCAUUAACAUCCCGGUGUUGAUCCGAAACUGCAGAGGCCGCCAUGGCCGGAGCCAAGGCCGCGGCCGUCGCCACCGUCGCUGCCGCAGUCCCCACAGUAAGUAGCCAUUCAGUUCUCCGACGAAAUCCUUCCACGGUUCAUAGAAUGUCUCAUGAAUGCUUUACCUCUAACUUUAGCUGGCGAGCGUGAGGAUGCUGCCGUGGGCGAGGGCGCACCUGAACCCGACCGGGCAGGCCCUCAUCAUCUCCACCGUCGCCGGGAUGGCCUACUUCAUCGUCGCCGACAAGACCAUCCUCUCCAUGGCCAGGAAGCACUCCUUCGACGACGCGCCGGACCACCUCAAGAACACAUCCUUCCACUAAUAAUUCGACUAUAAUAGAUCCAUUAGUAGUGGGUAAUAAUCUGCACGCCGGCCUGGAAGUGUCUGCUGAAAGAUAGUACUGUAAUGUUCAGGCAGCACUUAUCUGAGAUCAGGCGAGGCUUGCAGACAGCCAGUGGCGUAGUACUGCGCUUCUCUGCGCGCAAGAACUUAUCUGAUGAAGUGAUCAUGUAUCCACCCAUUAAUCUUGAAUUAAUAGUAAUAACUUGCGUUUGUACAACUCAGGCUCACCUGCCAUCACCCAUCUUACAUUUAAUUGAUCAUCGUUUGAAAUGGGGCACUGGCAGAGCAUGCACAAGACCGAAACAACACUGCAUACUUCGAUCCCCUACUCCUCCCCUGUUCUGUGAUGGACAUCAGGAUGGCCGGAGGCAGGUGGCUCUGUAGGGUGGCCGGAGUAAUCUUUCACUUCAAAUGUUGUGUACUAGUACUUUCUUGAACAUUUGCAACGAUAAAUCUGACUUUAAAUCACCUCAUUUUAUGUAAUAACAUACAUUUGGUACUCCCUCUGUAAAGAAAUAUAAGAGCGUUUCUUAUAUUCCUUUCCAGAGGUAGCAUUUUCUAUGACUUUUUUAGUUGAAAAAUAAAUAAUAAAAAUAAAAUUGUCAAAAAGUCAACUUUGGCAGUGUCCUAAUAUUGGUACAUGAACUUGUCAUGGAAAUCUCACACGAUUUCUAGAAAGGUAGAAAAACCACUUGAUUAGAAAUUGCCCCUUUUGGCACGGUGUCCGAAUAUUGGUACAUGCUUACUAGUUUUAAACUUUGGGCAAAUUUUGUUAAUAUAGGCCAAAAUGAGUCCAUAAAUAUAGUUUUAGAAGUUCAUAUAAUUGCAGAGCACAAGCAUUCGACCAUUUGAACUACAUUGUUAACCAAAAGGAAACACAACACAUCAACUCCAGCGUAUUAAGAUCCCCAUAAAUUACCACAACUACAAAUUCCUGCAUUUUCCCCUUGUACUUGUGUUCUCGGAGAAUGUAGAAGAAUAAAACAAUGAAAGUGGCACCGUCUUUCUUCUCUUCCUGCAAUUGUGUUCCCAAACUUGCUCAUCUGCAUUUCACUAUGAUGAAGCAGGUCCAGGUCUCUCGCUUGGCAGCAUAGUAGGGUAGGUGUGUGACUCAGUGUUAACCUUGGCCUGGACAUAAAAUUAUGAUAUUAUAGGGUUGGUACUGCAAGGGUUGCUACCAAUCAUUGGAAUUCAGCAGAAUUAGAUGACCGUACAAAUUUGUUCACCCAUCAAUGGCCAACACUGAGAUGGCAAUUUUUUUUGGCAUACACGUACAUGAUAGAGAUAAUGAGGAGAGGGGGGAAUCUAGUUUGCCUGCUGAUGCUAACAGAGGUUCAUUCGAAGAUGUUGAUGGACAGUUGAUGGAAGAUGCUGCAGAUGAUGUUGAUGAUGCACAUGAUGAUGAGAUGAUGAAUGUUUAUGACAAAGAAAACCCUGUUAUUGAAGCGGGGAAGUUGUGGCCAAACAUGGAUGAGUUCAGGAUGUGUUUCAGGACUUAUGCGGUCAAGUAUGAGUUUGAUGCUAAGACUAAGUGGGCUGAUAGAAAGAAGUUUUAUGCGAUGUGCAGAGGAUUUGAUGAAAAUGUCAAGCCUUGCAAGUGGUACAUAUCUGCUAGAUGCCAACCUGAUGGAAGUACCAUCAGGGUUAAUCAAAUUCCACAUCAAUAUACUUGUAUUACAAGAUCACAGAGAGUACCAACCAUGACAUCACACAUUUGGGUUGCAGAAAAGAUCACUCCUGUUUUAGGAAAGAAACCAAACACUACUAUAAAGCAACUUUUAGUACACUUAGAAAUCAGUACCUCAUUAAGCUGAAAUAUACCACCGUGUGGAAGGCAAAAUAAAGGGCAAUGAAGCAAUAAUAUGGUGAUUAUGGCCGCCUCAACGGUGUGUCGCCACAUCGGUUGGAAGGUCAAUCGAGUCUUCUCGUCGCUGCUGUUGAUGUGGCGAAGUAGUGGGUCCUGAAGGAAAUAUGCCCUAGAGGCAAUAAUAAAGUUAUUAUUUAUUUCCUUAUAUCAUGAUAAAUGUUUAUUAUUCAUGCUAGAAUUGUAUUAACCGGAAACAUAAUACAUGUGUGAAUACAUAGACAAACAGAGUGUCACUAGUAUGCCUCUACUUGACUAGCUCGUUAAUCAAAGAUGGUUAUGUUUCCUAGCCAUAGACAUGAGUUGUCAUUUGAUUAACGGGAUCACCUCAUUAAGAGAAUGACGUGAUUGACUUGACCCAUUCCGUUAGCUUAGCACCCGAUCGUUUAGUAUGUUGCUAUUGCUUUCUUCAUAACUUAUACAUGUUCCUAUGACUAUGAGAUUAUGCAACUCCCGUUUACCGGAGGAACACUUUGUGUGCUACCAAACGUCACAACGUAAAUGGGUGAUUAUAAAGGUGCUCUACAGGUGUCUCCAAAGGUACUUGUUGGGUUGGCGUAUUUCGAGAUUAGGAUUUGUCACUCCAAUUGUCGGAGAGGUAUCUCUGGGCCCACUCGGUAAUGCACAUCACUAUAAGCCUUGCAAGCAUUGUGACUAAUGAGUUAGUUGCGGGAUGAUGUAUUACAGAACGAGUAAAGAGACUUGCCGGUAACGAGAUUGAACUAGGUAUCGAGAUACCGACGAUCAAAUCUCGGGCAAGUAACAUACCGGUGACAAAGGGAACAACGUAUGUUGUUAUGCGGUCUGACCGAUAAAGAUCUUCGUAGAAUAUGUGGGAGCCAAUAUGGGCAUCCAGGUCCCGCUAUUGGUUAUUGACCGGAGACGUGUCUCGGUCAUGUCUACAUAGUUCUCGAACCCGUAGGGUCCGCACGCUUAACGUUACGAUGACAGUUUUAUUGAGUUUUGAUGUACCGAAGGAGUUCGGAGUCCCGGAUGAGAUCGGGGAUAUGACGAGAAGUCUCGAAAUGGUCGAGACGUAAAAAUUGAUAUAUUGGACGACUAUAUUCGGACUUCGGAAAGGUUCCGAGUGAUUCGGAUAUUUUUCGGAGUACCGGAGAGUUACGGGAAUUCGUAUUGGGCCUUAAUGGGCCAUACGGGAAAGGAGAGAAAGGCCUCGAAAGGUGGCCGCACCCCUCCCCAUAGUCUGGUCCGAAUUGGACUAGGGAGGGGGGGCGCACCCUUCCUUCUUUCUCCUUCCCCCUUCCCUUCUCCUACUCCCACAAGGAAAGGACGAGUCCUACUCCCGGUGGGAGUAGGACUCCCCCCUAUGGCGCGCCUCUCCCCUUGGCCGGCUGCCUCCCCCUUACUCCUUUAUAUACGGGGGCAGGGGGCACCCCAGAGACACAACAAUUGAUCCUUGAGAUCUCUUAGCCGUGUGCGGUGCCCCCCUCCACCAUAUUACACCUCGAUAAUACCGUUGCGGAGCUUAGGCGAAGCCCUGCGUCGGUGGAACAUCAUCAUCGUCACCACGCCGUCGUGCUGACGAAACUCUCCCUCAACACUCGGCUGGAUCGGAGUUCGAGGGACGUCAUCGAGCUGAACAUGUGUAGAACUCGGAGGUGCCGUGCGUUCGGUACUUGAUCGGUCGGAUCGUGAAGACGUACGACUACAUCAACCGCGUUGUGAUAACGCUUCCGCUUUCGGUCUACGAGGGUACGUGGACAACACUCUCCCCUCUCGUUGCUAUGCAUCACCAUGAUCUUGCGUGUGCGUAGGAAUUUUUUUGAAAUUACUACGUUUCCCAACAGGUCCCAGAUGGAAUGAGAUGGUGCGUGGGGCAUACAUCUAAUUCCUUUGCAAUCGCUAUUGGCGUGGACUAAAAUAUGGAAGUUUGAGUGACAAGACUUGAAUAUGCAACUUUGGCAGUGGCACAGACCGAUUUUUCCAUAAAUAUAAUUAAAAAAAAUCCCUGGUGGGUUUGAUGAUAUUGAUUGGAAAUGUAUAUGUUAAUAUUUCUUUCCUAUAAACUUGAUUAAAGUGUAGCCAGACGAAACUAAUAUACACUCUAUUUUGAAAUGUAGGGCGUAUGCCAUAUCUUUAAGAUAUCAUGACCAUGGCUAUUGAUGAUUUCUCUAUACUACUCAUGACAUUUAAUAGGAUUUAUUGGCAUUUAUUUGGAUAAGGAUAACCUUUUGUUGUGGGUCGGAUAAGGAUAAGCUUGAUGCAAAAGAAACUGAAACAUGUUGUUUAAUGACAUUAAUUGGAUAAGGACAACCUUAAUGCAACCACAUCUAUAUAAGACGACUGAACGGUACCAGUCAUGACCACAGAAAACAUAUCGAUUGACAGACUAUUGCAUAACUACAUAUUCUCAGUUGUUCUGUGUUCUUAGGCAAUGGCGAAAAAUAGCAUCUUCCAAGUGAUCAUUGUUUUUCUCAUGGUGCAAGUCUGCUUGCUCAUGAUGAUGGCAGCACCGGCAGCACAUGCAGCUGCUAGACCAGUGGGGUACAAUCCAGUGUGCUGCCCUAGAAACAUUUACUGUUGCGGGUUCGGUGGCGCAUUGGCCAAUUCACCCGUGCCAUCCAUUGAGCCUUGAAGUGUGGUUUUAUUCUCCUCGAGGUAGUAAGCUCGGCAUAUAAAUAAUAUAUGUAGUUUUAUUGUUUCAUGUGUUACCUAUUCCCGAAUAUUUGUGAUGCUAUUUUCAAGAAGAUAUUGUACUAGCUACUUACCUAAUAAAAUGGGAGGAGAUUAUUAUAUAUAUUGUUUUAUGUUUACGUCAGUCCAUUUGAAAACAAGAUUAUUUGGCCGCACUGAUUUAUGGCAAAAAAACGAGUGGUGAGGUGCGUGCCUUUGGGAAUUUCUGUUUUAUUGUUCCGUUGGUCCUCCAUUUGUCGAGAUUGUCUGGGUCGUGGCAGCAUGCUUUAUUUUUCACAAAGGUCAUAACUUUUUAUAGCAUUUAUUGAGUGAUGGAGUACAUCACCAAUUAGUAGAAACCAAUUACUAUUGGCGAUGCUUUUUUUUAAUCAAGGGAUCCACACUCUCUUCCUUUCUUGCAAGAAGGCCGAUGCCAUGUAUUAAAAUUGUCCAACCCUUACAACACCAUCCUUACAAAAGAAUUAACAUAGAAAACAUAUCCUGGGUUAUAUCAAGGGCGUCUUCCUUCCGGACUUGUACGGCGUGAGCAAAACUCGAUGUGGCCUUUGGAUUUCCAGAACAACCUUAGAGCCAGGGUAAAUCAUUCUCUACAUUUUUCAAGUGAGUGCUCAAUUCCUCAAAAAAUAGUCAAAUAAAUAGUAUACGAAUAUAACUUUUUAUUCUUUGAUGGAGCACGAAGGGAUUGUUUGCCGUGGAUCCUAUAUGCGCAAUCUAUCUAUUAAUCUAUUACUAUACUAAUUAGAGACUCCUUCGAAAUUCCCACAAUUAAUCAGAAAAUACGGACUGCUCAUCUGGUGGGACCGAAUUAUUACUGUGUAGAUUUUUUUAAAUUUUCUCACAUUAAUAAAGAUUAAACAAUAAUUAUAAGCCCCCCAUCUGGUGGGACUAAGUUAUUACCACAUAGAUUAACUCAUAUAGUCCUUGGCCAGAAUUUUGCUCCAUUCUCCUAAAUCCAAAUAAUAAUCACUCAAACUCUGUUGUAAAAAUAGAACACUAAAAAAUUACGAUUCAUUCUCUAGUCUCAACUAUUCAAAGGAAAAAAAACUCCCACCUCAAUAUAGGCACUACACAGUCUCUUCCUCUCCCCAUUAAAAAGAUCAUCAACCGGAAGCAAUCUCCAUAAAUUCCAUGGUCACGCAUAGCAUUGUCCAUUGGAUCUGCGAUCGAUCGUCUUGGUCAUUGGCGGAGGCCUUCCUCAAUGGUGUGGCCGAACUCGAUCUGCGGGUGAGGUCAAGAUAACGCUUUGGUCCUAGGGGUUUGGUAUAGGGUCUUACGUAAGGAAAAUGGAAGAAAAAUGAAGUGAAGGCAGAGAACCCAUACACAAAGAGAAGCGAAGUCUGUGCCCCUAGCUACUCAGUAUGCGUACGCGGUUUUCGACACUAGAUGCUGCUUGUUAUUACCAACCAUUUGUAGGCGGUUUGAUUGUUCUGACUAAACCCGGGCAAACGUCAGGCUGGGCUGGGCUUGUAAAAGCCCGGCCUUCAUUCUCAAGCCCGAGCCCGACCCGAAGUCCAAAAACUCUCUGUUUUCAAGCCUGAGCCCGGCCCAAAAUCAAGCCCGAAAGCUCGGCUUGAACGUUGUUUUUAGUGUACGCACGUGCAAGCCUGACCCAAAGCCCGAAAGCCCGUCUCGAAAUACAGAUAAAGAGAAGCCCGAGCCCGGCCCAAACUAUCUUUCGGGCUGCAAAACAAGGCCCGAGCCCAGCCCGAAUGUGAAGCCCGGCCGGGCCGGCCUGUCGAUGCUCGGGUUUAGUUCUAACCACCACCAGCGUCGGCCUUUGCAUCAAGCGAUGCACACAGUCAUUUAUUAAAAAGUAUAGGGUCUCAAAGUAUGAGUAACAUCUCAAGUUGCCAAAAAGGAACAAGAAAUCAAACAAAUAGCCACAACUGACAAAAUAGGAAUGUGGCUAAACACCUAUCUUAUUAAUGGACCAGCAUCUAAACAGGUUGUACUUAGCCCGUGCUACCGUCUCCCAUUGAUUGCACCCAACAGCCAUAAGCCCCCUCUCUACCGCAUGGUGUAGUAAUGACCACUUAGGGAUCCAGCUAGUCGCCCUGAUAGAUAACAUACAAAAAGCUUGUGAUAUUUGUCCUGUUAAAAACACAAUCAUUCCGAUAGUUCCAAAUAGGACAAACUAAAUGCACAAACUAAUUCGUGACGUAGUAUUGGGCUCAACCCCACCUAGCCAGUUACCAAACAAAUUGGAGAUAAUAUUAAGAGGAGGUAUGUUCAACGACACGUGUAUUGUCCGUCACGAUAAGUUGGAAAUGUGGCAAGUGAGAGACAAAUGUUGACUCGUUUCAUCAUGAUCGCAAAACUACACCAUUUACUCCCCUCCCACCUACUCCCUCCGUUCCUAAAUAUUUGUCUUUCUAGAUAUUUCAACAAAUGACUACAUACGGAGCAAAAUAAAUGAAUCUACACUCUAAAAUAUGUCUACAUACAUCCGUAUGUGAUAGUCUGUUUGAAAUGUCUAAAAAGACAAAUAUUUAGGAACGAAGGGAGUACGUUGUAGGCCAACUCUAACCCAUCCACUACAAAAUAGAGGAGGAUCCGUCUGAGCAAAGCUUGGUGGAGUAUAUUUACUUCACUAAGUUUUGGCCGGACAUAGUCGACCCCCUAAAUAUAACCGAGUACAAUUUAUAAUUGGCUUAUACAAUUGGUUGAGCACUUGGUGUGCGUCUGCUUGGGGACUCCGGCAUGGCGAGCACCCCUGCGGCGAGGAACACGGGUUAAACACGUAGCUGAUCAGGAUGCAGACGUUGACAGAUAGCUGCCACCGAGAUGGCAAGCUAGACAUUGCCAAUUGCAGCAUGUUGGUUCCGCUGGCAAGCUUGCUACUCACAUGAUCCUGCUCGGCCUGCACCGUGCCUCGUCCCCCAUCGCGUGCUACAGCUCCUGCUGCUUCCCCUCUGACGGAGGACUGCACCCCAUCACUGUGCUCGACCAUGUAGUGCCUGAAGGGCCUGACUCCUCCGUUGGACAGGCCUAAGGAAAGCUGAAGCUGGAUGGCGUCGUCGACUGCCUGCGAGAUGGGCGCCGGAGUGAGUGUGGUGUUGCGUGGCACCAUGGCAGCAUGAGCUGCAGCUUGAGGUCGUGCCGAACGCUCAUGCCACAGGCGCUCGUGAUGCUGCAGGUCGAGGUCGCCUUCGACUAUGGCACAUGCGCCGAUGCGACGGACGUGUCCCCGUCCGAGCCCCGCAAGGAGAGGUCGCUGUCACUGUCGAACGCCACCCACGAUGAUUCUGACGACCACGGCUAGGAGGAGGGACGGGACGCGGCACUGGGCCGCGACCCGGGGAUAAGCCAGUGGUGGCGGCGACAUCGCCGGGGGCGGGGGUGACUGAGGCUGCGGGUGGUCACCAGGUGGCCACAGAGUGGGGACAGGCGGUCUUAGGGAGAGGCGACAGGUUUUACUCGGCCGCCUUCAGGAGUAAUUUUAGUGGUUGGAUAGGCGGACGAGUAAAAUUUAGCCUCACAUAUACUAUAAGUUUUAGUACUUCGGCUAGGUGCGACAUAAACGAGGAAAACCGAAUUUAUCCUUCCUUAGACUGGCCAUAAUGGGUAGUAACAUAUACAUGUUACUAGUCUAUGUUACCAUCUUUAUAAUGGGGAGUAACAUAUGUGUGGUAACAUGCAACACUUCAUUUAUUAGGCUAUAAACUCAUUUUGCCUUGAUAUGUGUGAUGUUACUCAUACUACUAGUAACUAGCUAUGUUACCACUUUACUCAAUUUCUUCAUUUAUUGUUUACCACAUCAUCUAUUUUAUCUAGAUAUGUGUGAUGUUACUAUCUAUGUUACUCCCACUAUGGGUAGUCUUAUAGUCCGAUAGGGAAUCUUGAUUUUAAAGGGGCCUUUGAUUUUUAAACUUGAUUUCAGCACGUCCAAAGACCGGUGUGGGUAUUAGGGACACAACCCCUUUUGAUGGCCGCUUCUAAUGCCCUUUUUCUACUAGUGAAUAUUGGUUUUGUGCAUCUAUUUGUGACGAUUGCUUUGCUCAUGGUGUCCUUCGAUGAAGUCGGGGUCGCCGGUCGCCUGCGUGCAGCUAUGAAGUUAUUCGUGCAAUAUUUUUUCUUAAUUAAUGAAAAUAACAAGUCUUUUACUACCCCACUGUACAAAAAAUAUAAAAAUGUUUAGAUCAGUACUUUAGUUAUGUAAACACGCACAUAUUUCUUUUACGGAGACCGUUUAACAAAUCAACUAGCAUUAUGUCGAGGAACGAUGCCUGCCAAACAGGGGUUUUGCACCGAGCCGCCGGUGGAAUUGGCCUGAUCGAUUGCCGACGCGGCUAGCCGAGCUAGCUAGAUAGGCCAAAAACAGGGAGCGCCCACACAGACAGAAAUGGAACGCACGCUAACUGACACUGCACUCACGCAUAUGCUCCUACCUAUUCCCUCCGUUCGGAAUUACUUGUCGUAAAAAUGGAUGUAUCUAGACUUAUUUUAGUUCAUCCCGCCGGAGCACCCUGCUCUGCCCAUCUCAUCUCAUCUCACUCACACUGCUUACUUGACUUCACUACCUAGCUCACUUCCUCCGGUUCUCGUGCCACCAAGCUUUCUUCCACGGCAACGGCCACGGCCACGAAGAUGUCUACGGUGACCCGUGCCCACCUCGACCAGAGGCUCGCCGCCGCCAAGCGCUGCUCCAGAGGUACUAACCAAAACGGUGGCAGGCCAGCAAUGCCCGUGUCGUUCUGCUGUUAAACAUUGCAGCCUAUGCGCUGAAACUUGAUCGCCAUUGACAUGCCUGUGUUGCUUCGGAACUGCAGAGGCUGCCAUGGCAGGAGCCAAGGCCGCGGCCGUCGCCACCGUCGCAGCCGCAGUCCCCACAGUAAGUAGCCAGUUAGCCAUUCAGUUAUUCGGCCAAAUCCUUGCACGGUUCAUAGCAUGUCUCAUGCAUGCGUUACCUGUAACUUGAGCUGGCGAGCGCGAAGAUGCGAAGAUGCUGCCGUGGGCCAAGGCACACCUGAACCCAACCGGGCAGGCCCUCAUCAUCUCCACCGUCGCCGACAAGACCAUCCUCUCCAUGGCCAGGAAGCACUCCUUCGAGGACGCGCCGGACCACCUCAAGAACACCUCCUUCCACUAAUUACACAGUAGAUCCAUUAAUAGUGCGCAACAGGCUGCACGUCGGCCCGUACGGUCGUACGUGUUUGCUGAAUGAUACAGUAGUAUAAUGUUCAGCGAGAGAGGCGAGGCGAUGCAGAUCAGGCGUCGCGCUUCUAUCCGUGCAAGCACUUAUCUGACGAAUUUACCAUGUAAUCUAGCCAGUACUCUUGAAUAAAUGAAUACUUGUAUUUGUACAACUCUGAUCCAUCUGCCAUCACUCAUCUUACAUGUGGCAGAGCAUAAAAAAGAAAUCUCCACCGCCGGCCCCUAAAACGUACACAAUAUCCGUUUGCGAGCCGGUCAUCCAACGCUAAUCCAACAAGCGUCCAGACACAUUUCAAAUAGACCUUAAACAAUCUAGAUAAAAUUCAUACAAACCGAACGAUUUUCAUUCAAACCGGGACAAGUUCAUUGCAUUUUAGAUAUAUUUCAACUAAACAAAAGUGGGCGACACUUUUUAACCCAGUCUAAAUAUUCGUCGGUCGUGGAGGCCUUCAUGUUCUGCAUCAUGUCUUUACCAUGUCUGGCAAGUUCAGUGGUCGCAAGCUUUUGUGAAGUGAAGUUGCCGGUGAGGAAGAAUCUGACUUGGGACAUGACUCACAUGGGACACAGGACUUGCCCACAUCCGUGUCCCACGUCCUACUCUUCCCGGCUAGAGUCUGUGAUGUGGACGUUGCCGGACAUGGAUGGAUCGGCCUCAUGGCCAAUGCGGUUGGGCACGAAAUGUGAUAGCGCCGCGAUCAAUGCGGAACUGGCGACGUCCGUGAUGUUUGUGCCCACUCUUCAUCCACCUUCACCUGCAAGACGCACUGCCGCCAUCGCUCGCGAGGGAUGUCGUGAACUGCGGCCAACGACCAUAAGGCUGGUCCAUCCGGCAUUUCCGACACGAAGGUUGUCUCAUCUCCAACGACAAGUAGAACUAGGAUAGUUUGAUCUAUGUUUGAUAUAGUACGUGGUUUAAUUUUACGUUCCAUGAUGUAGUAUCAAAAAAGUAGAGGGUGAGAUUUGGGGUUUGUGGUUGCAGCGAGAGAUAAAUGAAGGGUGACCGGGCUCGGUCUACGGAUGCGUCCGGAAACAUCUGCGAACAUGUGGGGUCACUUUUGAAAUAUGCAGCUGUAGAUGUUGUAACAUUACCAAGAUUUCAAGGAAUUGAAAAUCGGGAUGAUCGGUUUCCUACCUCUUCAUCUUUUUUUAUCGAUAAUUGUAGACGCACGGGGUUUUACGGCCCGUGACAGGCUCUUUNNNNNNNNNNNNNNNNNNNNNNNNNNNNNNNNNNNNNNNNNNNNNNNNNNNNNNNNNNNNNNNNNNNNNNNNNNNNNNNNNNNNNNNNNNNNNNNNNNNNNNNNNNNNNNNNNNNNNNNNNNNNNNNNNNNNNNNNNNNNNNNNNNNNNNNNNNNNNNNNNNNNNNNNNNNNNNNNNNNNNNNNNNNNNNNNNNNNNNNNNNNNNNNNNNNNNNNNNNNNNNNNNNNNNNNNNAGUGGGGGUGGGGCCCUGACCUUAAUCUCCAUCCAAACAGAAGAUCCCAACUAGGACACUCCGUGAAUCCCUGUAAAACAUAGCCCGUGUGUGUAGCAUUGCUCUUUUUUUAUAGGAAAGGCUGAAAUAAAUCCAGGAUCAAGUCUAGAAUUUGAAUCUUGGUGGGCUGGGAUACCACCGUCCUUCUAACCAUCGAACCACAGGUUCGUUCGCUUCUGCCUCUUCAUCUUAACGAUACACACAUUCAUACUUAUAUUUAUUUAUUAUAAACAAUUGUGAGUAGGAGUAAUAAAACUCAGUACAAAUCAAUGAGUGGAGGGAGAAAAAAAUGCCACAAUCGGUGUAGGCAAACAUGCCUACACAAAAAGCAUAAUAUUGGAUCAUCUAUCCUACGUGAAAUGUUAUGUUAUUUUUAAACAGAGGUAAAAGAUUUUCCUCAUCUAUUAAGUAACAAAAUAAUGACAGGAGGGACGUUUUGCCUUUUUUUUAUGUGUGAAGAUUGAUGUUGGUUAUGUGCAUCUUAACUAUGCAGAGGCCAGAUAUAUGUUUAUUUUGACUGUAUUCAGUUGAUGCUUCAUUUUAUUAAAUAAUAAAAUCCAUUCUUAAUGAAAAAAGCAUGGUGGCGGGGCUGACCCCGCCAAACAAAGGAUCAGGCGCUCGCGGAAUUGGAUCGCCGACGGGUUGGCGGUAAACUGGGAGCGCCCACACCACACACAUCGCCAACAACCUGAAGGGCACGCUGACAGAUACUGCUCUCACGCACAUGCUCCUACCUACGUGUUAUCCUACCUAGUACGUGUUAUCCUACGCAGGAACACGCUCCCCGCCAACCCGAUGGAUCGAUCCAUGCCUCGUCUUAUCCAGAAAACAGAGUCCGCCACCUGUGCUCUGCCGCACCUGCACCGCCCACCGGUACCAUUACCGAAACCACGGUCUUGCCUGCUUCCCACCGUAUCAGGUCGUCUUCCUGCCCGGCCGCACGCCGGUUGGGCGGUUUCCUGCAACCUAUAAAUUCCGCCGGAGCACCUCGCUCUGCCCAUCUCAUUCUCAUAUCACUUCACUGCUACUACUAAUUCACUUCCUUCGGAUCCCGCUCGUGCCACCAAGCUCUGCUCCCGCUAAGAUGUCGACGGUGACCCGUGCCAACCUCGACCAGAGGCUCGCCGCCGCCAACCGCUGCUCCAGAGGUAACCACCGACGACCGGUUCCGGCCACAGCCCAGCACUGCUCUGCUCCUAUAUCCCAACCAUCCAUUGCAGCUUAUGUGUCUGCUGAAACUUGAUCUUGAUUAACAUUCCUGCGUUGGUCUGAAACUGCAGAGGCUGCCAUGGCGGGAGCCAAGGCCGCGGCCGUCGCCACCGUCGCUGCCGCAGUACCCACAGUAAGUAGCCAGCUAGCCAUUCAGUUCCAGAGUUCAUAGAACACAUCUCAUGAAUCAACGCGUUACCUGUACUGUAAUUUCAGCUGGCGAGCGUGAGGAUGCUGCCGUGGGCGAGGGCGCACCUCAACCCCACCGGGCAGGCGCUCAUCAUCUCCACGGUCGCCGGGAUGGCCUACUUCAUCGUCGCCGACAAGACCAUCCUCUCCAUGGCCAGGAGGCACUCCUUCGACGACGCGCCAGAGCACCUCAAGAACACCUCCUUCCACUAAUUAGACUAUAAUAGUAGACACAUAUAAUGUUCUAUAAUGGUACUAUAAUGUUCAGCGAGAGGGGCGGUCAGG
rnacentral:lncRNA from 1 species